rnacentral:tRNA from 1 species
AUGUAGCUCAGUGGUAGAGCACUUGCCUGGCAAGCAUGAGGCCCUGGGUUCGACGCCCAGCUU